rnacentral:rRNA from 1 species
GACGAACGCUGGCGGCGUGCUUAACACAUGCAAGUCGAACGAAGUGGCGAACGGGUGAGUAACGCGUAAUCAACCUGCCCUUCAGAGGGGGACAACAGUUGGAAACGACUGCUAAUAACGCAUACUGAAGGAGGGGAUUGCGUCUGAUUAGCUAGUUGGAGGGGUAACGGCCCACCAAGGAGAUGAUCAGUCGCCGGUCUGAUAGGAAGGACGGCAAAAUUGGUACUGAGACACGGCCCAGACACCGACGGUAGGCAGCAGUGGGGAAUCUUCCACAAUGGACGAAAGUCUGACGGAGCAACGCCGCGUGAAUGAUGACGGCCUUCGGGUUGUAAAGAUCUGUUAAUCGGGACGCGGUACCGGAAGAGAAAGCCACGGCUAACUACGUGCCAGCAGCCGCGGUAAUUC